AUUGAACGCUGGCGGCAGGCCUAACACAUGCAAGUCGAACGGUAACAGGAAACAGCUUGCUGUUUCGCUGACGAGUGGCGGACGGGUGAGUAAUGUCUGGGAAACUGUCUGAUUGAGGGGGAUAACUACUGGAAACGGUAGCUAUUACCUCAUAACGUCCCAAGACCAAAGUGGGGGACCUUCGGGCCUCUUGCCUUCGGAUGUGCCCAGAUGGGAUUAGCUAGUAGGUGGGGUAACGGCUCACCUAGGCGCCGAUCCCUAGCUGGUCUGCGAGGAUGACCAGCCACACUGGAACUGAGACACGGUCCAGACUCCUACGGGAGGCAGCAGUGGGGAAUAUUGCACAAUGGGCGCAAGCCUGAUGCAGCCAUGCCGCGUGUAUGAAGAAGGCCUUCGGGUUGUAAAGUACUUUCAGCGGGGAUGAAGGGAGUAAAGUUAAUACCUGUGCUCAUUGACGUUACCCGCAGAAGAAGCACCGGCUAACUCCGUG
rnacentral:rRNA from 1 species